AUUGAAAUCAGCACUGAAGUAUUUCCUGUUGAAAUUAUUGCUCUUUACUACUUUUCAAAUUGCAUCAAUUACUGAGUAAAACAAUUCUAAAAACUCAGGCUUUCCAUCAACUGUGUAAAUAGAAGCAAGCUUAUUGGAUGAUCUCUUUUCUUAACUUGAAGGUUGGGGGUUCAAUCCCGGGUCCUGCUGCCUUUAUGCCUUGGGCAAGACACUUAACCCCAAACUUCCCCCCACUGGCUGCUCCCAGUAAUGUGUGAAUAGGAUUAGUCAAAACUGAUGGAAGCUUUACAUAGCGACCCAUGCUAUCAGUGUGUGAAUGAUUGAAUGUGCCAAAUAAUGUAAAAGCCAUUUGAGUGGGCAUAGAAAUUGCAAUUUAACAGUCCAUUUACCAUUUACACUGCAAAUAAUAAAAAAAUAAACAAACCACAAACUUUACAAAGUUGUCUCAGUCCUGGUGAAAUCAUCUCAUCUGCAUGCUAUGUAAGGAAAUUCUUUGAAAUAAAGUUUUGUCAUGUUUUGGGGAACUAGUUAAGAACUUUUUGCUUGCUGCUUGUAUCCACUUUUACUCAUUCCAGCUGUGACCCAAGUUUCCAGGGACUAAAAUGCAAUGCUGACAAUUGAAUAAGCUCACCCUGGAAAGGUGCAGAGUCCAAACCACUUCAUGCAUAAAAGCUUUUGGUUUAUUACAACAGUAAGUUCUUCUGUUAUGUACUUUCUAAAAAAAGAACUUGCCUUGCACAGCCUUUUUUUUAAUUAAGGGUACCUGACUUUUGUUAUUUGAUAUUUGGUAUAAUUUUUUAGAUAAGAUAGAUGCCGUAUUAAUAAAAAAGAAAUACAUGUAGUGGUUGAAAAAAUAAAUCUUAAAUCAAAGUCUUUUAUCAUGUUGUGGUAACUGUUAAAACUGCAUCAGACCACUAAAAGACAUUGUGUAAAAUGUUAAAGGUUUAAGUAUUAUAUUAUUUUCUGUAACGUUAGGGAAGAAUGUGUAUGUGAAACCUGUGGGACAUGUCUUCAUUCUCUCAGCUCUAGCUGAAUAGGAGGAUUUAAAGGCUGAUGUCUCAAUAAAAGAGGGACCUACCUCCUGUGUGACAGCCAGGUGGGAUUUCUUUCACUCAGACUUGACUGAGUGGCAGACCGGAUCAGUUUUUGAGCAGCAGGGGGAGAGGAGGAGGCACUAAACCAAGUGAGUGAGUGUUGACCUUCUGUCCUGUAGCUGAGGCCCGAUAAUCUCACAUCAAAGUCUGAGCAGUGCACAGCCUUGACUGCAAAAGGGCCCUCACUCCCUGACUCUGUAUGAAAAGAGAUGUUUUCAGUCAGACUGGCGUCUUUCUUUCCAGUAGGAGUGGAUAGUUGAGAUGGACACGGGAAAAGAUCAGUGUGGCAACCCGUGGCGCCAGAGAUUACAAUAUAUUCAUCUUAAUACAAGAAGUUUUCCUUAUAUGAUGCAGAAAAAGUAUUUUGUAUUACUCUCCUAAAAUUAUAAACAACUUAAAAUCAGAAUAUUAACAUGUAAAUGCAUUUGUCUUAAAAACCCCUUAUGUUGUCACCACAGUAACUUUGACUUUUAAAUCUAAACAUAUCUUACUUUUGUCCCUACAAAUGUGCCAAAAAUGUUUGUUUCUGCUAAUCUGCACAAUAGUUGAA